rnacentral:lncRNA from 1 species
CUUUUUGAUGGAGUCACCUUCUUCUGAGCAAGCUCAACCUCCAUAGACGAAGCUCUCGAGCUCAAUACUAGGAAUUGAUGAUCCACGGCUCACGCUCAUCGCACACAACCAAAACCAAAAGGAUCUUUCAUCAACGAAGUCGAAACUACUCGUCCUGACAUGUUUGAUUGCGGAAUCGUCAUCGUGCGCGGCUUCAAAGGCUUCAUCGAACUACGGAUCGAAUCAGGAUACGUCUAUGUACCACGUGUAAUAGGAAUCUAUAUGCCUUCUUCAGCGG